UGCUACGUUACUGCGACGUCAUAUUGGUUUCUUGUCCAAUGAACGGUGUCGCCAGCAGCAGACAGAACCACGUGGGUGACGACCAUUUUAGCGGGCAAAGUCAAAUGUUUUAGUACAUUUGUUUUGCAGAUGGUACACUUUUUACAUACAUCAAUUGUUUUGCAGCCUAUAGUUCAAAAGAAGAGGCAAUUACUUGGGCGCAAGAACAAGGAUUAUUACGCACAAGUAAGAUGUGUCCUAAACACCGCAAGCCCAUGAAAUUGUACCAGGAAGCAGAACAUGGACUAAAACGAAGUUUUGUGUCCCCUAAAACGAAGUUCAACCGAAUUUAAUAUUUGACACAUUAGGUUUUUUAUAUUAAUAUUAUGUAUCAUAUAUUUUAAUUAUUAAUUUGAAUGUGAGUACGUAUACAGUAAGGAAAAUGUGUCAUAAACACGAAGAAGAUUUUUUAUCUCAUAAGGAAGGAUAAGGAGAUUUGAAGAGAAAUCAAUGAACAUGGAACGGGCCUUUUUUUAAUGGGAUUUAAUGUUUGAAGUUCCCAUAAAUGUCAUUGAUGAUCACCCACAAACUAAUCGUGAUUUAAAAAAGAAAUAAAUUCCUACUUUGAUCCACAUUUAUAGCAUGCAUUUAAUGAAUUUUUUUAGUUAUUUUAUGCUUCAAUUAGCUUUAUGCUUCUUCGUUUAGAAUCAUAGUUUUGACUACAAUUUUAUCUAUUUGUUGAAAAUGUUUUGUGAAAUCUAACAAUGUAUGUACUUACUUUUGAUGUUGACUGCUAAAGUAACUGUAGAAUUAAAUUCCUUGAAGUGAGUAAUCUUACUUUUAUGUAAUUAUAUGCUUUUACAGGGAUUAUCAUGACCUAACGAAACUAGAAUCAAAGAAGAUAGAUAGAACGUACAGAGUUUCCAAUAAAAUACCACGACACAUAACAGAAGUAUGUUCUCAAAACAGAAAUGCAAUUACUUUCUUGCAAGAUAUAUCUGGAAAUAUGAUGAAGCGAUUGAUCAGACAUAGAGGGGAAAAUUGCAACAGAGAUAUUAUGGAAUAGAAGUAUUAAAUAGAUGCAGUGAAGAAAUUAUUCAAGCAAGAGCAGUAUUAAAUUAGAUAAGUUCGUCUCGCACGUCACAGACUUUAAAAACAAUGUAAUACCAGCAUAUUUCAAAUAAAUAGUUUAAUAGAA